UACGGGAGGCAGCAGUGGGGAAUAUUGCACAAUGGGCGCAAGCCUGAUGCAGCCAUGCCGCGUGUAUGAAGAAGGCCUUCGGGUUGUAAAGUACUUUCAGCGGGGAGGAAGGCGAUGCGGUUAAUAACCGCGUCGAUUGACGUUACCCGCAGAAGAAGCACCGGCUAACUCCGUGCCAGCAGCCGCGGUAAUACGGAGGGUGCAAGCGUUAAUCGGAAUUACUGGGCGUAAAGCGCACGCAGGCGGUCUGUUAAGUCAGAUGUGAAAUCCCCGGGCUUAACCUGGGAACUGCAUUUUGAAACUGGCAGGCUUGAGUCUUGUAGAGGGGGUAGAAUUCCAGGUGUAGCGGUGAAAUGCGUAGAGAUCUGGAGGAAUACCGGUGGCGAAGGCGGCCCCUGGGACAAAGACUGACGCUCAGGU
rnacentral:rRNA from 1 species